rnacentral:rRNA from 1 species
CACACGACUCUCGGCAACGGAUAUCUCGGCUCUCGCAUCGAUGAAGAAGGUAGCAAAAUGCGAUACCUGGUGUGAAUUGCAGAAUCCCGCGAACCAUCGAGUUUUUGAACGCAAGUUGCGCCCGAGACCUUCUGGUCGAGGGCACGUCUGCCUGGGCGUCACG